GCAUGUGCACAGUCACUUCUGCCCAAACUACUUUGAGAAAGCAAGCUAUUGUUUACAAGUUAUCAGGCUAGAACUUAACAGGUUGAUACCAACUUUAUCUGUUGCUGAAGCAGUCGUAGUUUGGUUGAAAAGUGCGUGCCGUCCUCCUUUCACCCAGACUCGGAAUGCAGAGUCCUAUUCAAAUAUUCAGAAGUACUGUGUCACUUUUUAACACAGGAUAUGCUUUCUCUGCUGACUGAGCCCUGUCCAAAUGUACCAAGACCUUGACUCACUCAAACGUGUUGGGACCAGCAGAGGGAGCAGCAAACAGCCUGCAACUUCGUGUGAAGGCCAACUUCUGAUUUGGCGUCAGACGUGAAACCCUAAACAAAAUGAGCAGUGACUAUUUUGAAGCCAUGCUAGUUCCUUAUACAAAUGCUUUGGCAAACCAUUUUGCAGAAGAGUUUUCCUAGAGGUCAGCAUAGCAAAGAAGACAAAGUUUGGAGUCUGAGUUAACACCAGUAUUUGUGCUGCAAAAAGUCUCUGUUCAUGCUCCAAGAACUCCUAUAGGCAUUGCCUCAGAUUCUUGACCCCAACUCUCAAGGCAAACUAACACCAUUCACACUGAUCUCCCUCCCAGUCUCAGGGAUGAAAAGUAACAUUUUUAACAACUUGAGACUUACUGGGAAGGUGAUAAUCCUACACCAAAAUACAGACUUCUGCCUCAGAAGUUGUGGGGGCUAAUUUUCAGAGGUGCUAAACAUUCAGCUUGAUAAAUGAAGGUGCAGACCAUAAAGACACUUCUAGCUUUACAGCAGACAUCCUGUAUUACGUGCAAUAGGUUGUCUCAUUGCUUUGUCUUGCUUCCUCUGCUAGUAAAUGAGUUACAGCCUGCCUUUUUCCUGAAACCAAAACCAAUUUUUAAGAUAUCAAAGCUUAUAGGACCCUUCAGAGGCUACAUCAACAAAGUACUUCAUAGAUUAGAAAUGUGGGGUUUUUUUGCAGACACCAUUCAUCCAAGUUUCAUUUCAAAGGCAGUCAGGAACCUCAGACUGCAACCUGAAGUCUGUUUCAGUUUUUUGCAUUAGUUAUGAAUGAAGAUCCACGUUUAGAAUGGCCUGCAGCCAUUUAGCACUAACAGAAUGCUAAAACAGUAGCAGUUUGUCAAAAGAGUAAAUAGAUAUAGGAAGUUGCAACAGAAAAAAUGCAGAGAUUAAGAUAAAAAUUGUUAUUAAUAUCUCCACUGCACUUAAGUCCCAAGAGUUCCUCAUCAGUGACUACAAGUGGGAAAACCAUAGGCGGUGCAGAAGCAGAGGCCCCAGUUUUAGAUGAAAGGGAAUCAAUCUCAUGCUACACAUUCCCAUGUUGCAACAGGCUGAAUGAGAAAUCGCCUUUACACAGGUAACAGCACCCUUGGACACAGUCACUUCAAACCAAGAUGAAUUCUGCUCAUCUACGUGCAUACCAACACUGUGAGCAGUGGAACUUGAUCAAUCCAACCAUCACAUGGACACCAAGAUUUAAAUAACACUGCAAAACAGAAGCAGUACCACAGGCUCAUUUUUAUCUACUUAGUCCUCAUCUAACAGAACAGGGGCAGCCAAGUUCUCCAAGCUUGCCUCCAACCACAUACAGUGCAUGUCUGUCACCAGCAUUUAAGGGCAGGUGGCCCUAUCUUCUCAAGGCCCUUCUGACAUUUGCAAUAGCUACAACAGCCCACAGGUACCAGUAGAAAUGGUAUGUUGUUUUUUAUCGCUCUUUUUACACUCCCCCAGGCUAUUUCAGUAGGCAUUUCGGUAGUUACCAGACAAAGGAGAAGGAUUACUGUUUCAAGCUUUUUUCUUCAAGCUUUAAAAAAACAAACAAACAAACAAACACGGAAUGACUAAUAUUAAGUACAUUAGUCUGUCAGCCUUUUACCAAAC
rnacentral:lncRNA from 1 species